rnacentral:lncRNA from 1 species
CAAUGAGUUUGCAUAAUUUGUACAUUCUACUAGUAUAAUGCCCGUGCUAACUCUACGACGAUACUUCAUAAUGCAAAUCAAAUAAGCAAAGCGACACAUAUUUUUGAUUUAUUUUUGACAAUCAAAUAUAAAAUGAAAUAUAUUUAAGAUCCAUGAAAAAAAGAAAUGCUACGAAGAGUUAUUAUAUUAUUGAUCAUGUAGCCAAGCAUUGGUUUCAAAAUAGUAUUCAUGAUAUCAAGUUUACUUCACCACAAAUUGUAGUGGAAAACAAAAAGAUAACUUGUAAUUGGUAACGUAAAUUCCACAUUUACUUGUGUCCACGUAAGUUAUUUCAACCGUUCAUUCCUCUCAGAAGAUAUCCAUCCAACUAUUGAAUUUCUCAGCUAGCUAUGAUUCUCUCACCCACCCAUGAUUUAUCUCACCAUUGAUUUUAAGAUGGACGAUUCAGAUAGACCAUGUGGUCACAGGUAUACGAGAAAAAUUCAUGUCCACUUGUAGUUGAAAACAAAAGGACGAGUACAUAACUUCAACUCCAGAGCACACUUGUCUGUGUCCAACUUCCGAUAGCCCGAAAUCAGUCAGCUGCAUCAAAGUCCCAAAAAAAAGCAUCAAAAUUCUAAAACUUCAAAUACCAUCAGAGCUAGCAAGGUCAUUAAUCUGAAGAAUUCCAUGAACAUCACCGGUCACAUCUCAUAUGGCCAUCACAAGAGAGAAACAAGUUGCCGGCUUUAGGCGUGUACUGCAAUGCAUGAACCUGCAAACAGAAAAAAAAUGGCUAUUGUUCAGGAUUUCAAAAAAAAAAAUGCAAAUAAUAUAUCACUGGUCAGAGGCUCAUAGCUAUUAUGGCCCCCAC